rnacentral:lncRNA from 1 species
GAAAAUGUAUCAUUUUUAAGGGAAAAAUAAGUUGAUUUUUAAAUUUCAUGGCAUCAACACAUCUCAAAAAAGUUGUGACAAGGCCAUGUUUAUCACUGUGUGGCAUCCCCUCUUCUUUUAAUAAUGCUUCACCAUGGUUUCCAGCUCUGCCUGCACUGCCUGGCACCCCGCUGGGCCUACUCCGCCAUGGCUCCCCGCUAGGACUGCUCCGCCAUGGCUCCAUUUUCUGUCACUGCUUCAUGGCCCAGGUCCACCUCAGCUCCAUGGUCUGUCACUGCUUCAUGGCCCAGGUCCCCCUCUGCUUCAUAGUCUGUCACUGCUUCAUGGCCCAGGUCCCCCUCUGCUUCCUGGUCUGUCUCUGCUCCACAGCCCAGGUCCCCCUCUGUAUUCAUGGUCUGUCUCUGCUCCACGGCCCAGGUCCCCCUCUGUUCCAUGGUCUGUCACUGCUUCAUGGCCCAGGUCCACCUCUGCUCCAUGGUCUGUCACUGCUCCAUGGCCCAGGUCCCCCUCUGCUUCAAGGUCUGUCUCUGCUCCACAGCCCAGGUCCCCCUCUGCUUCAUGGUCUGUCUCUGCUCCACGGCCCAGGUCCCCCUCUGUUCCAUGGUCUGUCACUGCUUCAUGGCCCAGGUCCACCUCUGCUCCAUGGUCUGUCACUGCUCCAUGGCCCAGGUCCCCCUCUGCUUCAAGGUCUGUCUCUGCUCCACAGCCCAGGUCCCCCUCUGCUUCAUGGUCUGUCUCUGCUCCACGGCCCAGGUCCCCCUCUGUUCCAUGGUCUGUCACUGCUUCAUGGCCCAGGUCCACCUCUGCUCCAUGGUCUGUCACUGCUCCAUGGCCCAGGUCCCCCUCUGCUUCAAGGUCUGUCUCUGCUCCACAGCCCAGGUCCCCCUCUGCUUCAUGGUCUGUCUCUGCUCCACGGCCCAGGUCCCCCUCUGUUCCAUGGUCUGUCACUGCUUCAUGGGAGGCCGCUCAUGAACUCACUGCCUGUCCUGUAACGGCCAGGGAGGCCGCUCUUGAACUCACUGCCUGUCCUGUAACAGCCACGGAGGCCGCUCAAUAACUCACUAUCUGUCCUGUCACGGCCAAGUGGUCUGUCCAUGUCCCUGCUCCACCAUGGCUUCCAGCUCUGCCUGCACCGCCUGGCCACCCCACUAGGCCUGCUCCGCCAUGGCUCCAUACUGCUCUGGAUCUGCUCCAUGGCCCAGGUCCCCCUCUGUUCCAUGAUCUGUCACUGCUCCAUGGCCCAGGUCCCCCUUUGCUCCAUGGUCUGUUCCUCCUCCACUACACCACCCUCCUGGAAUUUUUUGGGGUUAGUUUGUUUGGGCGUCAGGAGCCACCCUUAGAGGGGGGAUAUGUAA